CUUUUCAAAACCCCCGUCCCAUUCUCCUCGACAUCCUCUCCGCCCGCACCUCCGGUCAUCUUUUCCUCAACUCCAUCCCACUCUAUCUCCCACUCCGUCCUUCCCUCGUUCGCUGCAUCUCCUCCCACGUCCCCCGACACGACUUCUUCUUUUCCGACGUCGAACGCCGUCGCAUCUCCAUCGGAACCGUACUCCGUUGUCUCUCUUUCUCCUCCUCCUCCUUCCCUUCAUUUUGGUCCCGAUCUUCGGGAACUAGGGUUAAGGGGUUUUGAGCGGACCUUGAGUUAGUAGGCUGGGGUCUGGAUUGAAGCGUGUUUAAUUGCAGGAAAUAAGAAUGACAUUGUUAAGGUUCUAACAAUUGUCAUUUCUCUGGUGAUUGCUUUCCUGUUGAUUUGCGCUAUUUGUGUAUUUUUCUGGAGGAGCAGAAAUUUGGGCAAAAAUAUUCCUGGUGAAGCUGAAUCUGGGUUGGAAAGGCUUCACCAAUGCCCAGAAAAGGAAAUCCAACGCUACUUUGAAGCAGAUUCUCCUUCAAAAGACUUCAAUAAUUUUCACACAAAGCUUGCCGGUUUGACUAGAGUGUUCCUAUUCAAGCUAGGCAGACACCUCAUUUACUUCUGUAUUUUGGGACAUUGUUAACUAAGGGAAAACUAAAUGCAUCUGAGUCUCUAGAAUUGUCUCGCCAUGUGGUUAAUCAGAACAAGAAAAAUCUUUUGGAGAAUUGGUUGGUAGAGGACAAGCUUGAGUACAGCGAAGAACUUGGAGAUAUUGUGAAGACUGUAGACAAUGAUCUUGCAUUGAAGAUCUAUGUAAAAGCAAAGGCAACUCCAAAAGUUGUUGCCGCUUUUGCUGAGCGGAGAGAGUUUGACAAGAUUCUUAUGUACUCAAAGCAGGUUGGGUAUACACCAGAUUAUCUUUUUCUUUUGCAGACAAUUCUAUGAACGGAUCCACAGAUUGGUAAAAGUGAUCUUCUGGCAUAUCCCAUCCAAAAGAAGAGAGAAAGUAUCCUGAGAACCAUAGCUCAUCUUCGCCCUUGGACUAGUACAUUUGGUAAGGAUCUCUUCUUUCACCUUUACGUGACAUCAGUUUGGAGAAACUGAUCGGUUAUUUAUGGGAUAUCUAUCAUCAUCACCAUCACCAUCUUCCCUUGAUGAAGCAGAGAUACAACAACAACUGAAGGAUUCACUGGAAGCAAACAUUAGCAAAAUGAGAGGGUUGUGCAUUUGCACGACAAACCAAAGAUGUUGGUUAUGACAUACAAGACUUGGAAUCAGAGAUAAGUACAUGGAGCUGGAGAGAAGGUGCAGGAGAUCAACAUGGCUGAAUUGUUCCGCACCUCCUCACACACAACAUGAUCUGCAACUCUGCUUGGAUCUUCACUAGGAAAAGUUCCGUUGAUUGGUGAUUCAUUCGAGCAUACACAGCCAUAUGAAACAUAGACUUGGAGCCAAAUGGAGCAGUAGCAGGGAUAUGAACAUACAGAUAAUCACUCAUCUCCUUUUCUUCUGCGAUAUUAUAAAAGUUGUGUAUGACUGAAGGAGUCAUAACUGUCUACCCUUGAGUCGCCUGCAGAAUCUCUGAGUGAAUAAGACGCCGGAACUCUGAUCGCAAUUUGUAAAGCAAAUGCUUCAAACUCCUCAUUCAUCUCAAUGUCUUUGGCAAAUGCAGGCUUUCUUGAUAGGAUCCAGCCCCAGUCCUACCACUUUCUCAGAGGUCCUCCGGCAAAUUCCCCAAAUGAUGGCAUCGACUGGGACCGCCUGAAUGCCCAUGCAGUGUAUGCAGAUGUUAGUGGUUGCACAUUUAUGGAGAAGGAUGAAAGUCUUCUCCUCAAUCCUAUCAUGUGUGUCUCCGUGUGCUUGUCUUGAGAGAUUGGAAGCUCAUCCUUUUCAGGCAUUGUGGGGAAGAACUUCUUUUGCAGGUUCUCAAACAUGGAACUCAUUCUGAAUGUGUGUUUUGAAUCUUUUGAUUGAUUCACUUGUUGGUUUUGUUUCUCAAAUGUAUGAUGUGUUUGUAUGUCUUAUCUUAUUGUUUUUCACAGCUCUUGGACAGGCUGGUUUUAUUAGUCCAUGUGGUGGAUGGGGUCCCAUGAACCAUUUUCCUUCUUUCAUCUUUCUUUAAUGUCACCGCAUCUCCUUUUAUUUA